UGAGGCAGCGGGGCUCCGCAGCGAGUAACGUUGUCGUCUCCGCCCGCAGCCGGAGUGAACAGGGGAGACACCGGUACAUUUAUACGCUUAAAAAGUAAAGGUACAAACAGUCCCUUUAAAAGUGACGCAAAUAGUGCAAUCUGCAUCCUCACCGCCAGAUGUCACUAAAACACUGGUCCCUUUAAGUCAGCUGACGACGCUAACGUUAGUUUAAUUAAAUAGCCAAAUACAAGAUGUUAAAAUCAGCAUCAAUUGGCUUUUGUCUGAAAUCAACCAUUGUUGCAAAAAUUACUCAGAAUUUUGAUGUAAAUCCAAUAAGAUUCUUUUAAUUGUAAACAUCCGUAUGGACAGCUUGACAGGCAUAGCAACAGUAACUAAGGGGGGCGUGGCUUAGCACAUCGUCAAUUGAAACUGUGCCACUUUUAGUGGUUAGCCAUAACUGUGGGUUGUGAAGCAUAUAGACUACAUAAAAAUAUAUCAUAAACAUCCUUAGAGAAUAUAGAUGUUUGUGGCACUUAUAUUUAUUAUAUAUAUUACUAUUGGUAUUACAUUAUUGUUUUUUUUUUUGUUGGGGUUAGGGGGGGGCAAUAUAUGCCUACAAUAUUUAGGAUAAGUGUGACACAGAUGGCUUUUCCAUUUAAGCCUAUGAUUGUAAAAUGGUACCUUAAAGCUUGAAGAUUUUUCUUAUUGCUGUCAGAUGCACAGCGUUUUGAUAUGUUCAAAAUCACAGAUGACCUUUUUGUGAUUCUACAAUCAACAAAAACAAACAAAUCAGAUUUUCACCUGACAGCAGUCAUUUUUAUUUGGCUCUAUUUCCUGCUGGAAAAGGGUCGCACAUUGUUAGCAAAACAGCCACCUACGCUCCCCCGAAGUCAUUCAGCCGGAGCAGGUGCAGUGAAAUUAAAGUUCCCUGAACGACGCUGUUUCACAACCAGGGGAACACAAGAAGGAAUGAUUACAUUUAGCCCUGAGGUCCUUCUAUGAGGAACAUUUCCAUUUUUCUUACUGCAAUCACAAACGUUAGAGGUCGUUGUGCAGGAUCUGAAGAGCGCCG